AAAUUGAAGAGUUUGAUCAUGGCUCAGAUUGAACGCUGGCGGCAGGCCUAACACAUGCAAGUCGAACGGUAACAGGAAGCAGCUUGCUGCUUUGCUGACGAGUGGCGGACGGGUGAGUAAUGUCUGGGAAACUACCUGAUGGAGGGGGAUAACUACUGGAAACGGUGGCUAAUACCGCAUAACGUCGCAAGACCAAAGAGGGGGACCUUCGGGCCUCUUGCCAUCAGAUGUGCCCAGAUGGGAUUAGCUUGUUGGUGAGGUAACGGCUCACCAAGGCGACGAUCCCUAGCUGGUCUGAGAGGAUGACCAGCCACACUGGAACUGAGACACGGUCCAGACUCCUACGGGAGGCAGCAGUGGGGAAUAUUGCACAAUGGGCGCAAGCCUGAUGCAGCCAUGCCGCGUGUAUGAAGAAGGCCUUCGGGUUGUAAAGUACUUUCAGCGGGGAGGAAGGUGUUGUGGUUAAUAACC
rnacentral:rRNA from 1 species